rnacentral:rRNA from 1 species
GUGGGGAAUAUUGGACAAUGGGCGAAAGCCUGAUCCAGCCAUGCCGCGUGUGUGAAGAAGGUCUUCGGAUUGUAAAGCACUUUAAGUUGGGAGGAAGGGUAGUAACCUAAUACGUUGCUACUUUGACGUUACCGACAGAAUAAGCACCGGCUAACUUCGUGCCAGCAGCCGCGGUAAUACGAAGGGUGCAAGCGUUAAUCGGAAUUACUGGGCGUAAAGCUCGCGUAGGUGGUUCAGUAAGUUGGAAGUGAAAUCCCCGGGCUCAAGCUGGGAACUGCUUUCAAAACUGCUGAGCUAGAGUACGGUAGAGGGUGGUGGAAUUUCCUGUGUAGCGGUGAAAUGCGUAGAUAUAGGAAGGAACACCAGUGGCGAAGGCGACCACCUGGACUGAUACUGACACUGAGGUGCGAAAGCGUGGGGAGCAAACAGGAUUAGAAACCCCAGUAGUCC